AUACGAGUAUAACACGUGGUAACAGGAAAGAGAAACUACGCCGUGUCACUCGCCACCGCCUCAACCAUUGCGGACCCUGUUAUUGCAACCACCACCACAGAUACGCCUGAUCCUACUGCUGCCACAGCCUCUUUAUCAUUGAAACACAAAAAGCAACCACCCAGCAUUUCCUCAGGUGUUCUUGGAAAGAAAAGGAGUGUGCAAAGUGGACAAGGAAGGAGGCGUAUAAAAAAAAGGUAACAGGCUCCCUCGACACAACCACCACCACCACCAGCUCUGGUGUCACCACCUCCACCGUCGUUACGUAUUUAGUUUCUUGUUUGGAAUAUUUUUUUCCCAUAGAGGAACUGUAAAAUGAAGUAGGUGUAAGAAAAUGCAGUAAAGUUACUGGUUUUUUGCUUCUUGUUGAGGAAGAACUUUUUCUAGAAAAGAAACGCUUAAAGGGUUAAUGUUAGUGCAGCAGGAUUAGCACAUUAUUUCAGGCAUUACAGCACAUCAGCAUUAGCACAGCAUCACAAUUCUGUAACAACAUUAUUUUAGGCAUGACAACAUCACAAGCAGAACAACAUUACAUACAAACGCAAAACAGCAUCACAUAACAGUGAUAAUAAGAUUAAGAUGCUGUGAUGCUGAGGGUCAGAUUAUGAUGUUGUGCUGUUAGGUCUAAGAUAAUAAUGAUGUGAUGUCUAAGAUACCCUGUGAUGCUGUUAGAUCUAAGAUAAUGAGGCUGUAAUGCUGUUAUGUCUAAGAUAAAGAUGAUGUGAUUCUGUUGUCUAAGAAUAACACAACAGCAACACAGCAUCACCACCAGUACCCAGGCAUCAUCACCACACACAUCAGUUUCCCCACAAACCUCACCAUCAGACACACACAACCACCACCAGUACCCAGGCAUCACCAUGCAGCGUCACACUCAAAACAGCAGCAUCACAUUUGAACAGCCCAUGGUGAGGAAUUAAAGCAAGAGGGAAUAUUGCGUAAUAAUUGUAAGUACUCGGUAGGUUCCCACGUCACCUGUUCAAAGCAGACGAUUUUUUUUGCUUUUGCUACUUUUUGCUAUUGUGGCAGUAUGUACUUUGUUUAUUUGACAGUUUCAUCAAAUUUAUCUUAUUUUCUGAGUAAUUGCGUUUUUAAUAAUGUUUUAAGUGCAACAGGAACCGAAUUCUUGAGUAAUGAAAGAUGAGGCUACAAGAAGAAGCAGAGGAAAUUCCGAAAUGGACGUCGGUGUGUGUUUUUCCAUCUUAUUUCACCAUUUUAUCCUCAGGAAAUCUCUGCUGGGGAGACUGGUCACUUGAUAGCAACAAGAACUGACGUCAGUUGACCAAGACACCACUAGGAAUUGACAUUAGCUGACCAAGACAGGACCAGAAAUUGACACCCACUUGCCACAAUAUCAUUAUUUCUCCCAGCUGUGAAGAACAUGCGAGCACUUGGGAGUUGCUUCCAUCAUGGGAGUGUCCCUCAAGAGUAGGAGCCACCCCUCUCACUGACCUGAGUCACCUGACCCUAUCAGCUCCAACACCUACCCAAUCAGCAGUGCAGCAUGGGUCACCUACAGGGUUGGCUGUGGUGUGUCCCUCAUUGUGUACACAUCAUACUCUGCCACACUGGUCUCACACCUGGCAGUGGAGCAGUCUGUGACUCUGCCCUUCAGCAACCUGCAGGAGCUGUCUAGGCAGUCAGGCUGGGAUGCUGGAUGCAACAACAAUGACCUCUUCAAAGUGACAGCCUCAGUGGCUCCUUGGUUUUUUGCUCCCUGUGCUGAUAUACCAUCCACACUUCAGAGAGAGAGAGAGAGAGAGAGAGAGAGAGAGAGAGAGAGAGAGAGAGAGAGAGAGAGAGGGGGGGCAGGCAGGCAGACAGACAGAGAGAGAGAGAGAGAGAGAGAGAGAGAGAGAGAGAGAGAGAGAGAGAGAGAGAGAGAGAGAGAGAGAGAGAGAGAGAGAGAGAGAGAGAGAGAGAGAGAGAGAGAGACAGACAGACAGACAGAGAGAGAGAGAGAAAUUUGUGCAGGGCCCUUGAUUUAGGAGUGGGCAAAGAGGGCAGCUGCCGAGGGGCUUCCACAAUGUUGGGAUCUCCACAAUCUGGGGAGUCCCUUACAUAAUUAAGCAUUCUGUAAGUGAAAGAAACUCAAAUUAAUCAGUAAACACUAAUUUUCUAUGAACUUUUUAACAUUUUUUAUCAUUAUUAAUACAGCUGCUUUUGUUUCAUUUACACUAAAUAAAUAUGCUCUUUUCUCUAGAUUAUAUUAUAUAUAUUAAAAAAUUGAAUGGAAUAUAGAUACAUAAAAACAUUAAUAUAAAUAUCUCAGGCUGGCCAUGGGCCUCCACAGACCUCAAGGUGGUGUGUCACACCAACACUUUUUCCGUCAACUUUUUCCAUCGUUUUUCUGAAAAUCGUGGAUAUCUUGGCUGCGGCCUGUCGCACACAAAUGGUGUUUCAUCUGAAACUUUCCGUUGGCACAGCCCAAGGAGUGCAAACAAACAUGGAGUCCACACUGCAGCAAAGAUACGCUAUUCUGAAACUAAUACUGUGUACUGUGAGACACAGUAUUGGAGGGCACAGGUGACUGUGUUGUGAGCCGCUCUUUUCUGGCCUUUCUUCAUACAAGAUUCAUCCUUGUGGUCCCAGAGGCACUUAUGGCUCCUUAUGCUUUCCACAAGGAUCUCCUCUGAACGGCGUGUCCAACUUGGAUGUGGUUUUCCUUCCAUGACGAAGCGUAGAGGUGGUAAUAACGCUCUGUGAGACAGGUUGAAGCCACGCGGAAAGUCUUGGUCUUGGUCUUGGAAAUAUAAACAAAGGCGGAAAUUUGCAGGAGGAAACAAUCCUGAUCGUCUGACAAAUUCAUGCGAUAAGUUCAUGUGGAACGAUGAAAAAUCGACGGAAAAAGUGAUAGUAUGACACCACCUUAAAUCCACCCCUGGAUUUGUGAGUUAAUUUUUUUUCUUUUUUCUUCUUACUUGAGGGGCAUUGGCUUUGGGAGGGAAAAAAAAAGAAAAGACCCACUUAGGUGCCAUUCCCUUAAGACCAAAAGGAUCAUCCAAAAUUGGAGAGUAAGUGCCUUGAAACUUUCCUCUUGAAAGAGUUCUAGUCAUAAGAAGGAGGAAAUAUAGAAGUAGGCAGAGUGUUCCAGAGUCUACCAAAAACUGACUGACUGUUAGGCUAGACUGUGUAAAAUACUGAUGUGACUACCUUCCUCUUUUUCUGUUUUUGCUGCUUCUCUGGAGUGAGGGGCUGGCACCAUGCACAAGUCUUCUUUGGUUGUGUCUGUCCCUUGCAUCUUCUGUGACUCCCAUCCUUAGCAGCUCUAGCACAAUUCCAUCCUUCCAUCUCACUCACUCUUUACCUUGAUCUUCCUUCAACUGGCUUUCUCCAGGCCCUUUUAAUUAGUCCUUUAUCAAGAUUGCCUCCAAUAACCACCUAGGAUGUGAACAAUCUCAUAUCACCACAUCAGUCUGGCUAGAUUAUAACGUGCCUUCUCUUCUUCCCUGGGAGCAGCAAACCUGUGUGGGCUCCCAGACAGGUGAGUGCCGUGUGCUGAGAAAGGCAUGGCAGAAAGUGGAAAGUGGUGCUGAGGUCCCCAGAUAACUUAGUGAACUCCUACACUGAGGGACUGGAGAAGGUCUUGAAUGACUCCUCCAGAAUCAAGGAACUGCCAGUCCAAUACAUCACAGGAGGCAAUGCUAUUGGGCUGCAAAAAAAAAUUCACCUUUAGGAAGUUAUUUGACCACAGCCUUCAGAAGAUGCAAGAGUCAAGCCUGAUGAACAAGGUGAGGACCAAUUGGCUAUCAGCAGGAACUUCAACGUGUGGCAGGAAGACUAAAUUCACAGCCAGCCUCUCUGAUGUGGCUGCAAUCUUCAUCCUCUUGAUGGGUGGUGCAGCAUUUAGCUGUCUGCUGCUGCUGCUGCUGCUGGAGCAUGCAGUGGGUAGUGAUGCAUGUGUAAAACCAUGGCCCAUAUUCUGAAGUGCUCUGCUCUCUCACUAUGAUCAUUUUCAGAGUCCACAUAGAUGAUUAGCUGGGUUCUCAAGAAAGAUUUCUCCUGU